rnacentral:lncRNA from 1 species
GAUCGAUGGCUGCUGGUACUUUUUUUUGUUUCUUAGACAAUCCUGAUGCUAUAAGAAUACCUACAAUAUAUAGUCAAAUAAAAUCAAUGUCAAGAUUUUAAACUAAAUCAACUAAGGUCAACUUUAAGAUAUUCAUGUAGGUAGUUUAUCAUUAAGUUAAAGCUAGUUUAUCACUGCAUAGUCUAUAUACUUGUGUAGGUAAUUUACUAUUAUACAUGGGUAUAUGUAAUAUUUUAUGCAUGUUUACACUAUAGAGUCCCC